UCUGUCUAGGCUUUGAACUGGCUCAAUUUCUCCUUCCAUUCCUUUAAAACGGUUGAAUUCAAAAUUCCUAAACAUUAUACUAUAAUAUUCCGCUUUUAUAUAGCGCUUAAAUGUCUCUAAGCACUUUACAGAUAUUCUGUAAUAUCUAUAAUCUAUUAUGACGAGUUGUUUAGAACAAUUUAAUUGACAAGGAACCUUCAAAUGAUUUCUUUAGAGUGACUGAAUACUUUUCAUUGUCAGGGGUGUCCCAAAAUGAAUACAUUAUCGAAUUUUUGUUCGAGUAGUUGUACUUUGAACAAGGGGGCUCUCACUGUUUGCGUUUGCUCACGCCGAGUUUAAAUGCGGAAGCUUACUUGUGGGAAUUCCAACUAAUAAUAGAACCAAUGCGCAUGCGGGCGAUCUUUAGACGUAAAAGUGAAUAUGAUUUAAUACAGUGUCAUUAGAAUGGGUCGUUAUGCGUUUUGACAACGCGUGCAAUAUGAUGCGUAAAACUGGCAUUUAACGAAGUGCAGCCUUUUCGGGAUGUGACGAGUUUAAACUCCAGUCGAUGACCCGCGAUAAUUUAAAUUUGAGAUUGACAUCAUUGAUUUAUUUGAAGCGGAUAUACCGGUAGAUCUGCACUCAUUCAGCAAACGGAGUAGGUCUACAUAUGCACCACCAAUACUAUAGUCACAGUUUGUAAGAAGAAUGGCAACCCCCCGAAUGUUCAAAGUUUGGCACGCAGAUAAGAAACUUGUAUUGGCAACAUCACUGGAUGAGCUGAUAGACAAAGGUCUCACAAAGCUGCAAAAGACAAAAGAGAAUUUCAAGUGCCUGAGAUUGUCUGACGGCACAAUUGUAGACAAUGAUGAAUUGUUUGCCUUCCUGCAAGAAUCCGAACCAAUCCACUUUGUUUUCUCUGAUAAAGAAGUGCCAUCAACAUCUGCAUGUAGGCCUACUGGUGCAUCUGACCAGGGA